rnacentral:rRNA from 1 species
AUUGAACGCUGGCGGCAUGCCUUACACAUGCAAGUCGAACGGUAACGGGUUAAGCUGACGAGUGGCGAACGGGUGAGUAAUGUAUCGGAACGUGCCCAGUCGUGGGGGAUAACUACUCGAAAGAGCGGCUAAUACCGCAUACGACCUGAGGGUGAAAGCGGGGGACCGUAAGGCCUCGCGCGAUUGGAGCGGCCGAUAUCAGAUUAGCUAGUUGGUGGGGUAAAAGCCCACCAAGGCGACGAUCUGUAGCUGGUCUGAGAGGACGACAGCCACACUGGGACGGAGACACGGCCCAGACUCCGACGGGAGGCAGCAGUGGGGAAUUUUGGACAAUGGGCGAAAGCCUGAUCCAGCCAUGCCGCGUGUCUGAAGAAGGCCUUCGGGUUGUAAAGGACUUUUGUCGGGGAGGAAAUCCCCAGCGUUAAUACCGCUGGGGGAUGACAGUACCUGAAGAAUAAGCACCGGCUAACUACGUGCCAGCAGCCGCAGUAAGAC